rnacentral:rRNA from 1 species
CUCGAAAGAGAGCCGUAACACAGGUGCUGCAUGGCUGUCGUCAGCUCGUGUCGUGAGAUGUUGGGUUAAGUCCCGCAACGAGCGCAACCCUUGUCAUUAGUUGCUACGAAAGGGCACUCUAAUGAGACUGCCGGUGACAAACCGGAGGAAGGUGGGGAUGACGUCAAGUCCUCAUGGCCCUUAUAGGUGGGGCUACACACGUCAUACAAUGGCUGGUACAAAGGGUUGCCAACCCGCGAGGGGGAGCCAAUCCCAUAAAGCCAGUCGUAGUCCGGAUCGCAGUCUGCAACUCGACUGCGUGAAGUCGGAAUCGCUAGUAAUCGUGGAUCAGCAUGUCACGGUGAAUACGUUCCCGGGUCUU